UGCAAGUCGAACGCUUUGUGGUCCAACUGAUUUGAAGAGCUUGCUCAGAUAUGACGAUGGACAUUGCAAAGAGUGGCGAACGGGUGAGUAACACGUGGGAAACCUACCUCUUAGCAGGGGAUAACACUUGGAAACAAGUGCUAAUACCGUAUAACACUAAUAACCGCAUGGUUAUUAGUUAAAAGAUGGUCUUGCUAUCACUAAGAGAUGGUCCCGCGGUGUAUUAGCUAGUUGGUAAGGUAAUGGCUUACCAAGGCAAUGAUACAUAGCCGAGUUGAGAGACUGAUCGGCCACAAUGGGACUGAGACACGGCCCAUACUCCUACGGGAGGCAGCAGUAGGGAAUCUUCCACAAUGGACGAAAGUCUGAUGGAGCAACGCCGCGUGUGUGAUGAAGGGUUUCGGCUCGUAAAACACUGUUGUAAGAGAAGAAUGACAUUGAGAGUAACUGUUCAGUGUGUGACGGUAUCUUACCAGAAAGGAACGGCUAAAUACGUGCCAGCAGCCGCGGUAAUACGUAUGUUCCAAGCGUUAUCCGGAUUUAUUGGGCGUAAAGCGAGCGCAGACGGUUAUUUAAGUCCGAAGUGAAAGCCCACAGCUUAACUGUGGAAGUGCUUUGGAAACUGGAUAACUUGAGUGCAGUAGAGGAGAGUGGAACUCCAUGUGUAGCGGUGAAAUGCGUAGAUAUAUGGAAGAACACCAGUGGCGAA
rnacentral:rRNA from 1 species